UAGAGUUUGAUCAUGGCUCAGAACGAACGCUGGCGGCAGGCCUAACACAUGCAAGUCGAACGCUCCAGCAAUGGAGAGUGGCAGACGGGUGAGUAACGCGUGGGAACCUACCAUACGGUCGGGAAUAGCUCAGGGAAACUUGGGGUAAUACCGGAUACGCCCUUCGGGGGAAAGAUUUAUCGCCGUUUGAUGGGCCCGCGUCGGAUUAGCUAGUUGGUGGGGUAACGGCCUACCAAGGCAACGAUCCGUAGCUGGUCUAAGAGGAUGAUCAGCCACACUGGGACUGAGACACGGCCCAGACUCCUACGGGAGGCAGCAGUGGGGAAUAUUGGACAAUGGGCGCAAGCCUGAUCCAGCCAUGCCGCGUGAGUGACGAAGGUCUUCGGAUUGUAAAACUCUUUUGGCGGGGACGAUAAUGACGGUACCCGCAGAAUAAGCCCCGGCUAACUUCGUGCCAGCAGCCGCGGUAAUCGCC
rnacentral:rRNA from 1 species